rnacentral:tRNA from 1 species
GCGAAAGUGGCGGAAUUGGUAGACGCACUAGAUUUAGGUUCUAGCGCCGAAAGGUGUGGGGGUUCGAGUCCCCCCUUUCGCACCA